GACGAACGCUGACGGCGUGCCUAAUACAUGCAAGUCGCACGAUGAGGCCCUUCGGGGUACAUCAGUGGCGGACGGGUGAGUAACACGUAGGAAACAUGCCCUUUACUGGGGGAUAACACCGGGAAACCGGUGCUAAUACCGCAUAAGACAUUGGUUGGAAUACCAAUGUUUAAAAGCUCCGGUGGUAAAGGAUUGGCCUGACGUCGGAUUAGCUUGUUGGUGAGGUAAUGGCUCACCAAGGCGACGAUCCGUAGUUGGUCUGAGAGGAUGACCAGCCACAGUGGAACUGAGACACGGUCCACACUCCUACGGGAGGCAGCAGUAAGGAUAUUGCGCAAUGGGCGAAAGCCUGACGCAGCAACGCCGUGUGGAGGAUGAAGGUCUUUGGAUUGUAAACUCCUGUCAGUGGGACGAAAUUUGACGG
rnacentral:rRNA from 1 species